rnacentral:ribozyme from 1 species
GCACCCCCCUCGGCCAGGAAUCCUUUUGUCUCUACUUUUCCUUUCAUCUAUCGCCGUCUUGGGUCUUGCUUUUACUCCAAAUCCGAUUUGGCCGUUGGUUGCUAAGCUUCUCCCUCCUCGC